rnacentral:snoRNA from 1 species
UUGUUAUGAUGAAAGUUCACUUCAUGGUCCGUGUUUCUGAAACGCAUGAUUUUGUGGAAGUUCUGAUUUG